CCUACGGGCGGCAGCAGUGGGGAAUAUUGCACAAUGGGCGAAAGCCUGAUGCAGCAACGCCGCGUGAGAGAUGAAGGCCUUCGGGUCGUAAAGCUCGGUCCUCAAGGAAGAGAAGGACGGUAAGUGAGGAGGAAGCCCCGGCUAACUACGGGCCAGCAGCCGCGGGAAUACGUCGGGGGCGAGCGUUAUCCGGAAUUACUGGGCGUAAAGGGUGCGGAGGGGGUUUCUGAAGUCAGAGGUGAAAGGCUACGGCUCAACCGUAGUCAGCCUUUGAACCUGGGAAACUGGAGUGCAGGAGAGGCGAGUGGUCUUCCUCUUGUCGCGGUCAACUGCGUAGAUAUUAGGA
rnacentral:rRNA from 1 species